AGUGAACGCUGGCGGUAGGCCUAACACAUGCAAGUCGAACGGCAGCACAGUAAGAGCUUGCUCUUACGGGUGGCGAGUGGCGGACGGGUGAGGAAUACAUCGGAAUCUACUUUUUCGUGGGGGAUAACGUAGGGAAACUUACGCUAAUACCGCAUACGACCUACGGGUGAAAGCUGGGGAUCUUCGGACCUUGCGCGAUUGAAUGAGCCGAUGUCGGAUUAGAUAGUUGGCGGGGUAAAGGCCCACCAAGGCGACGAUCCGUAGCUGGUCUGAGAGGAUGAUCAGCCACACUGGAACUGAGACACGGUCCAGACUCCUACGGGAGGCAGCAGUGGGGAAUAUUGGACAAUGGGCGCAAGCCUGAUCCAGCCAUACCGCGUGGGUGAAGAAGGCCUUCGGGUUGUAAAGCCCUUUUGUUGGGAAAGAAAAGCAGCAGGUUAAUACCCCGCUGUUCUGACGGUACCCAAAGAAUAAGCACCGGCUAACUUCGUG
rnacentral:rRNA from 1 species